GGAGAGCUUAUUUUUGUGUCCUGUGUUGGUUUUGUUGAUAUUAUUUUGUAGCUGCUCCUUCAGAGGGGGGGAAGGCGUGCCAGGUGGUGCUUAAGGUUAGGUGGAAACCGGUGUAGCUGACAGAGCCAUCGCUGCGGAAAGCCAGGUGCAUGGUGUUGGAGCUGCUCUCGAUCCUCUCCGGAAGCUUGCUGUCCUGAAAGCUACCAAUCAGAGGGCUGUUGCUGUCUGGUCCGUCGU